GAUAAAGCCAUGCAUGUCUUCAUGGGCCUAGGUACUACCUUAAUUGUUCUUCUGUCUUCCCACAGGACAGGGCCAUGGAUCUGUUCUUCUCCUUAUAUACUCAGGUAAGUCUGCUUCUGUCUUCCUAGAGGACAGAGCCAUGCAUUUGUUCAUCUACACAGACACUAAGGCAAGUCUUUGGAUGUCCUCCUGCAGGACAGAUCCAUGCAUCUGUUAAUGUGCACAGAUACUAAAGUAAGUCUGUUAAAAUCCUUGUGUUGGACCCAGCUUCUUUUGAACUUUCUUGGUGGCCAUGGAGUGAGUGUUUUGUCCCCUGAAGAGUUCAAACUUACUUGGCAUCCUAACGGUAGGGCUCGGGGAAGUGGUUAUGUCCUGCCGAGCGAGUACUUGCAAUGGCAUUAGUGGGAAUUCAUAACUUUGGCCUUUUUGCUUUCUGCCAUUUAGAGAUACAGGUCCUCUUUUCUGUGGAUGGAUCAUCAAGUUGCCCUCAUGCAGUGGAAACACAGCCUUCAAAAGACAAAUGAUUCUCCCAUCCCUUUGAGUUCCUAUGUCUCAGCCUCCGGAACCUAGCCUAGAAUUGUACAAGACACCACCAGAAACCUCAGAAAUCAACGAGCAAAACACUGAAACAGAUUGCUUCUCCUCGCUGACUACAAGGUGGCUGCUACCCAUCCUGGGACCCUUCAUUGUCAUCAUCUGUAUGCAGCGCCUUGAUCAAUUUUUUUCCAAGGCUGGAUUCAUCCAGCCACUAACUUCCUCACCUCCCAAAAGCUGAUGAACAGAUAUCCCUACCGGUGUGAGACCCCAACCCCACCUACCAACUCAGCUCCUCCCCCUGACAAUGGCCCCAGUCAGCAUGAAGCUGCUACUUGAGACAGCUCAUGACCUCAUCCCUUAUAACAAGGAGCCGUGAAUGUAAGGCCUAAACCCACCAGGCCUAAGCACAGCAUCCUUCAUCCUUCAGCAGCCUUCUUGGCCCUAGCAGCAGCUCGGAAGGAGGCCUCAGCACUUAGUCCCUCUUCCCAUGUCCUCAGUGAAAGCCUGCUCUCUUUCAUUCCGUGUCGUGGCACUGGUGUAUAGUCACUGGAGACAGUAAACUUCCACUUUA
rnacentral:lncRNA from 1 species